AAAUAGUAAGGCAACUUUUUUGAGAACCAGCUUUAAUAAAAUGCAGAAAAGGCAACAUCUUCCAUCUCAGUGGCAUUCAUGCACCAUCAGAAAACCUAUAACCAAACAAAAACUUAUUUAUCAAGUUAGCUUUGUUCUGUCUUACACCUGCUUUCUAAAUAACAAAAACAUCCAAGGCAGUACAUAAAUCUAUGACAGUGAUGGUAUCUUGUAAGAAAGGCUAAGGGAAAGCCAUUUCACCAGCACAUCUGUGUUAAAUUCUACACACUGAAGCUGGAAAAAAAACCCUAUUUUAACAGUAUUUAGUUCAGCACAAGAUAUUUAUAAUGUCAUCAGUGCUAGGAUUCAGAUUUCAGAUAUUUUUCUUUAAAUCUCAACUGAGGAUUCUUGUUCAAGAACUUUUAACUUCUGUCUCCAUGUCUUUGGCACCCAAAUGACCUGAUUUUUGUGUAAUUCUGAAAAAUCAGGACACUUAUUUGCAUUUAUGUGUAACAAUGAAGAUAUUUCCUCACUUUCUUACAGCUUACAUUACAUUUCCUUACUUUCUUACAGAGGCUCCCAUCUGUAGCAGACAGCAAACAGUGGGGACUGACAUUGCAAGACAUCUGGUAAACCUGCUUAAUUUUAGACAAGCCAUUUCUCCCCAUGGAAGCAUUAUUACUAUAGCAAUAAAUGGCUUGCAAAAGCGGAUUCAUCAUCAGAUCCUGAUUACUCUGCAGAUGUUCUAAAUGUAUUGCUACCUAGCUUAGUGUUUCCCAAAUUAACGGUUUUCAAAGUCUUUACAAACAGUUUAGCAAUCAGAAGACAGCGCAUAAUUACUCUUUUUAAUAAAAAUGUAUAUUAGAAGAGAGAGUGCUUUAUUAAAUAAAAUGUGACUCAAAAGAAAAACACUACUAGUCAAAGGACUGAGGUGUUCAUUAAACUAUUCAAACACUGUAACAGGAGUACAUGUGAGAUCUGCAGCAAAGAGAGUUUUUAAGCCAAUCAAGUAGAUUCCACAAGGCAGCAAGCCACCUUAAGCACUUGAUUAAAACUUACAUACAAAACACAGCACAUGCUUCAGUGCUUGCAGCAAUUUUUAUCACACUACUCUGUAAUUCACAAAAACAAACUCAAAAUACAGUGUUGAUACAACAGUAAUUGACAAUAGCAUGAUACACUUCCUGCACAAAUACAGUGUUUAGUAUCAUCACUUUUUUCACAGAAUCAUAGAACCAAAUGAUGGGUUUGGGUUGGAAGGGACCUCAAAGCCCAGCCAGCCCCAACCUCAUGCCAUGGGCAGGGCUGCCCUCCACCAGCUCAGCUGCUCAGGGCCCCAUCCAACCAGGUCUUGAACACCUCCAGAAAUGGGGCACCACAGCUUCUCUGGGCAGCUGUUUCAGCACCUCACCACUCUUAUGUAGGGUUGUAGAAUAUCCUAAAACCCAUAAGGAACCAUAACCUAUAUUAAAACUGCUAAAAUAACUUCAUUACCAUAUAACAGCUGCAGGACAUAGAAAUAACUGCUUCUCUGAAAAGUGGAGACAGAAGAAAAAGAUGCUCGGGCCAAUAGCCACUGGCAGCCUGAUUUUUUUAAUAAGACUUCCAUCCUUACCUCAACAAACAUCUUCCAUGAGCAUCAAAUCCUUCAUAAAUAGAAAGUGCUGAUGUUUGGCUUUCUGUCAAUACAACACUGUAUAUACAGAACACUGCAGUCUUGAACAUACUAAGCAAUUAGUUAAAACAGGAUUUUCAUAUGCCCACUUUACAGAGAUUUUCUCAAGGCUAAGGAAGCAAAAACAUUCUUCAGUAAUGCUGGCUCUCUACACAGACUGAGCAAGUGGUUUCCAGCUUCUUGACUGUCAUGAUGGAUUGCAUGACUGGAGUGUUGCAAUGGAGGAAUACAGGCCCUUGAGGAAGGAUGAGCCACAAAGAUGAGGUGAGGUAGAAAAGUUGUCAAUUGUGUAAAAGCACAGCUGUAAUGCACGAAGCUCUGCCUUAGGGCGGACAGUGAGCCAACUGAGAGCUUAUGGGCAAAGAUUUAAGAGCAGACAAGUAUGAUGGACAUAACCGUGGGUGUUUGCUAGAGGCUAUUUGACAACAAAGAACAAGAGGAUAAAUCUUUCUACGGGUGCCUAGAAGCAGUUUCACAUUCACAGGCCUUGGUCCUCAAGUGGGACUUCAACCACCCUGAUAUCUGAGGGUCAAACACAGCAGGGCAAGAGCUAAAGAAGAUUCCCGGAGAGUACUAAUAACUUCCUGGCCCAAGUGAUAGAAAAACCAAAGAGAAAUGCUCCACUGAACCAAGGAGGGGCUGAACGUGAAGAUUAAAAGCAGCCUUGGCUGCAUUGUUCAUGUGAUGGCUGAGUUCAGGAUCCUGAGAGCAAGAAGGAAGAUGAAAAGCAAGGUCACAAUGCUGGACUUCAGGAGAGCAGACUCUGGCUUCUUCAAAGACCUGCUUGGAAGAGUUCUGUGGGAUAAGAUCCUGGAAAAAAGACAGGCCCUUGAAAGCAAGUUUGAUAUUUGAGGAUCACUUUCCCACAAACCACAAAAAGUGGUCUAUCCUAACAAGUGGGAAGUCAGGAGAAAUGUCAAGAAGCCUGCAUAGAUGAGCAAUUUGUUUCUUGCAAAACUCAAACACAAAAAGGAUACAUACAAACAGUGGAAACAGGAACAGGUAACCAACAGAAAUACAGAUGCUGUUCUUGCUGAGGGUUCAACCCUCUUGCUGAGGGUUGAUCCGAAAGUUGUUGUGCUCGUUCCCCUUAACAAUCCUGUACCACACUCUCCCAUUCACCCCCUCGUCUGCAUCCGUGGCUUUCACCUGCACGAUGCUGCUGGCGGCUGGGAUGUCCUCAGGAACACUGGCUUCAUAGCUGCUCUGAAGGAAGAUGGGCCGGUUAUCAUUGACAUCCAGGACAGUGACAUAGACAGUGGCAGUUCCAGUGCGGCGGUUCUGGAGGAGAUGCAUUUAGAAUGGCCAAAAUUCCAACUUGAAUUGAAUCUGGCCAAGGUCAUCAGACACUGAGAAGAGUUUCUGUAGGUACCUAAGUCACAAAAGCAAGAGUAGGGAAAACAUGGAUGCACUGUUGAAUGGUAUGAGGGACACAGUGACAGAAGACAGGAAAAAUGCUGAGAAAUUGAAUGCCACUUUUGCCUCACUGUUUAUGAGUAAGAUUGUCUUUCACAAACCUUAGGUCCCAAAGAACAGGAGUAAAACUGGAACAAGAAAGAAACAUGUAACCUGAUAGAAAAGGAUCCGCUCAGGGAAUAUGUAAACAAAUAAGACUAAUGAAGUCUAUACAUCCUGAUGAGAUGCACCUGUGAGUGCUGAGGGAGCUGUCCCGUGUCACUGCUAGGCCACUCUUGAUAAUCCUUUAAUGAUCAUUUUAACUAGGAGAGGCGCCCACAGACUAGUAAAAUCCAGUGUCAUUCCCAUCAAGGCCAGCCAGCUCUACCUCAAUCACUGGAAAGGUAAUGGAGCACCUAAUCCUGGAAAACAAUUCCAGCACACAAAGGAUAAGAAAAUGGUCAGUAGAGAUUUACCAAAAGGAAGUUAAGCUUGACAAAUUUGAUUAACCAUGAAAUGACUGGCCUGGUGGAUGAGGGGAGCAUAGUGGAUAUUGCCUACCUAGAGUUCAGGAAGACCUUUGACACUGUCUCUCCUAAGAUCCUCGUAGAAAAGGCUGGCAAAGUACAGUCAGGUCAUGAAGAUAAGGAGGUGGACAAAAAACUAGUGGUGCAAAGCCUAGUUGGGAGCCAGUAACUAGUAGUCUACUGAAAUGGUGAAUACUGGGACCAAUCCUGUUCAACAUCUUCAUUAGUGAUCUACAUGGGGUACAGUACAACCUCAGCAAGUUUGCUAAUAACACAGAACUGAGAGGAGGAAGCUCAACAAGCUGGAGAAAUGGGCUAAUAGGGACCUCAUAUAAUAAAGUUCUUCUACUGGGCAAAGAACAACGACAGGAACAGUACAUGCUGUGGGCCACCCAGCUGGAAGGCAGACUUGCAGAAAAAGAACUAGGGGUUCUGGUGGACUCCAAAUGAACACAAGUCAAGGGGGAAGCAUGCCCUUGUGGCAUGUGUGGCUAAUGCGGAAGGUGUGACUGGUGGCAUAUGGCACAAACUGAAACACAGGAGGUGCCAUCUAAACAAACACACCUUUACUAUGGGAGUGACCAUGCAAUGGCACAGGUUUCCUGCUUGGAGGGGAGAAAGGUUAGUAGAGACUUCCAGAGGUGCUCCUCCAUAUCUCAACCAUUCCAUAAUUUUCCUUUCCAGUAUGAUGAAAUUAGCUUAAAAGGAGGAAAACACUCCACUGUAUUUCUCCCCUUUUUAUUAUUCUAAUUUCUUCCAAAAAAUAGCAUAACUAUGUACUUUCAAAUGAAACUCAAUAUAAGAAAUCUAACAAAAGAGCUUUGAUGCACAAGAAAUUCAGUGAAACAUUUCAGCACUUCUUAAGUGUUGGCACAUUUCAGGUAGUUUCUUAAGUACUAUUUCUAGUAAAAAAACUAAAAAAAACUUUAAAAAUUGACUAGAACUCAUGACUGUGAUAGUACUGAUUUGGUGAAGGUUAUAUAUAAUUGUCUAGAGAAUUAAAAAAUAAAUAAAAAUUAAGAGUCAGAAGAGGGUGUAUGACUUAACUACAGAGAAAAGGCUCUACGACUAUAAACGCAAAUAAUCUGAAAGUUUGAUAGCAUUGUUCUUUCUUAGGUUUAUUACAGGUUUGCAAAAAUACUUGUGCACCAUCAACACUAUCAUUUAAUCUGUAUGUAAACUAGAAUAGUCAACAGCAUCAAAAAGCAUCUCUUAGCUCAAGAAAGGAGAGAAAAAUACUGAAGUACUAACCCUCAUCUUCUCACUAGUGGGUAGCUACUGGCAUGAUGAAGGAGGAGUAAACACCAUGCCAGAAAACCCCAACCCAGCUCCAAGAGAGUGGAAGACAGCAGGACAGAAGUUAGGUAUCAUUCUGCCUAUCAACAGCAUCAGUUUAUAUUCCAAAACAAAAUAUUUGGCUCCCAUUUUGGAAUUAUUUCCUACAUCUAAUGGUGUGUGUGCACAUACGAAACCAUCCCUACCAGAGUGAACUUCCAGUACCCUCAACUGUUAUACAGGUUCCCUUUUUCGUUCAUGAUCACGUUCUUAAUGCUUUAAGGACUGUAGUGAAAUCCCCAUCACCACUAAGAGCUAAUUCUUCUGCCAAACCUAUUUGGAAUUGUAUGAAACAAGCAAGACACAUCCUAAGAUCUGUCUAGUAAGUUUCAAAGAGACAUUAAAGCUACAAAAAAGUCAGGACAGGCUUUAAUAUAAUAGAAAAUGUUCAGUAAUUUAAGCUCAGCAGCUGUUAUUGAUUAUUGUAUAGUCAUACUUGGAAAAAUGAUGGAAAGAUUUUUAAAAGUUCAGAAAAUCAGUUCUUCUAGAGCAGCUUUGUACAGAACAAACUUGUUUAAUCUUGGAAGCACCAUGAAGUGACACUACAUAUCAGCAAGCAAAAAAAAAAAAAA